UACGAAGGGGGGCUAGCGUUGCUCGGAAUCACUGGGCGUAAAGCGCACGUAGGCGGAUCUUUAAGUCAGGGGUGAAAUCCCAAGGCUCAACCUUGGAAUUGCCUUUGAUACUGGCUGUCUUGAGUUCGGGAGAGGUGAGUGGAAUGCCGAGUGUAGAGGUGAAAGUUCGUAGAUAUUCGGCGGGAACACCAGUGGCGAAGGCGACUCACUGGCCCGAUCUGACGCUGAGGC
rnacentral:rRNA from 1 species